rnacentral:rRNA from 1 species
UACGUAGGGUGCAAGCGUUAAUCGGAAUUACUGGGCGUAAAGCGUGCGCAGGCGGUUGUGCAAGACCGAUGUGAAAUCCCCGGGCUUAACCUGGGAAUGGCAUUGGUGACUGCACGGCUUGAGUUUGGCAGAGGAGACUGGAAUUCCUGGUGUAGCAGUGAAAUGCGUAGAUAUCAGGAGGAAUACCGAUGGCGAAGGCAGGUCUCUGGGCUGAAACUGACGCUCAUGCACGAAAGCGUGGGGAGCAAACAGG